GACGAACGCUGGCGGCAUGCCUAAUACAUGCAAGUCGAGCGAACAGAUGAAGUGCUUGCACUUCUGACGUUAGCGGCGAACGGGUGAGUAACACGUAAGGAAUCUACCUAUAAGCGGGGGAUAACAUUCGGAAACGGGUGCUAAUACCGCAUAAUAUCUUCUUCCGCAUGGAAGGAGAUUGAAAGACGGCUCUGCUGUCACUUAUAGAUGACCUUGCGGUGCAUUAGUUAGUUGGUGGGGUAAUGGCCUACCAAGACGAUGAUGCAUAGCCGACCUGAGAGGGUGAUCGGCCACAUUGGGACUGAGACACGGCCCAAACUCCUACGGGAGGCAGCAGUAGGGAAUCUUCCGCAAUGGGCGAAAGCCUGACGGAGCAAUGCCGCGUGAGUGAAGAAGGCCUUCGGGUCGUAAAACUCUGUUAUAAGAGAAGAACAAAUUGUAGAGUAACUGCUACAGUCUUGACGGUAUCUUAUCAGAAAGCCACGGCUAACUACGUGCCAGCCGCCGCCGUAA
rnacentral:rRNA from 1 species